GAUGAACGCUGGCGGCGUGCCUAAUACAUGCAAGUCGAGCGAACAGACGAGGAGCUUGCUCCUCUGACGUUAGCGGCGGACGGGUGAGUAACACGUGGAUAACCUACCUAUAAGACUGGGAUAACUUCGGGAAACCGGAGCUAAUACCGGAUAAUAUAUUAAACCGCAUGGUUCAAUAGUGAAAGACGGUUUUGCUGUCACUUAUAGAUGGAUCCGCGCCGCAUUAGCUAGUUGGUAAGGUAACGGCUUACCAAGGCAACGAUGCGUAGCCGACCUGAGAGGGUGAUCGGCCACACUGGAACUGAGACACGGUCCAGACUCCUACGGGAGGCAGCAGUAGGGAAUCUUCCGCAAUGGGCGAAAGCCUGACGGAGCAACGCCGCGUGAGUGAUGAAGGUCUUCGGAUCGUAAAACUCUGUUAUUAGGGAAGAACAAAUGUGUAAGUAACUAUGCACGUCUUGACGGUACCUAAUCAGAAAGCCACGGCUAACUACGU
rnacentral:rRNA from 1 species